UACGUAGGGGGCAAGCGUUGUCCGGAAUCAUUGGGCGUAAAGAGCGUGUAGGCGGCCUGAAAGGUCAGCUGUGAAAACUCGAGGCUUAACCUCGAGACGUCGGUUGAAACCACCUGGCUAGAGUCCGGAAGAGGAGUGUGGAAUUCCCGGUGUAGCGGUGAAAUGCGCAGAUAUCGGGAAGAACACCCGUGGCGAAGGCGGCACUCUGGGACGGUACUGACGCUGAGACGCGAAAGCGUGGGGAGCGAACAGG
rnacentral:rRNA from 1 species